GCCUACGGGAGGCAGCAGUAGGGAAUCUUCCACAAUGGGCGAAAGCCUGAUGGAGCAACGCCGCGUGGGUGGAGAAGGUCUUCGGAUCGUAAAACCCUGUUGUUAGAGAAGAAAGUGCGUGAGAGUAACUGUUCACGUUUCGACGGUAUCUAACCAGAAAGCCACGGCUAACUACGUGCCAGCAGCCGCGGUAAUACGUAGGUGGCAAGCGUUAUCCGGAUUUAUUGGGCGUAAAGGGAACGCAGGCGGUCUUUUAAGUCUGAUGUGAAAGCCUUCGGCUUAACCGGAGGAGUGAAUUGGAAACU
rnacentral:rRNA from 1 species